rnacentral:sRNA from 1 species
CUACUUUCCUGUUGACUCCUGCAGAUUCGUAACUCGGGCUCCGCUGACAGUACAGUCCAGUUCAUCUUCUAUCAACCCAUCAUCCACCGAUGGAGGGAGACGGAUUUCUUUCCUUGCUCAGCAACCUGUGGAGGAGGUUAUCAACUGACAUCGGCUGAGUGCUACGAUCUGAGGAGCAACCGUGUGGUUGCUGACCAAUACUGUCACUAUUACCCAGAGAACAUCAAACCCAAACCCAAGCUUCAGGAGUGCAACUUGGAUCCUUGUCCAGCCAGGUGGGAGGCCACCCCAUGGACCGCGUGCUCCUCCUCGUGUGGGGGGGGCAUCCAGAGCCGGGCAGUUUCCUGUGUGGAGGAGGACAUCCAGGGGCAUGUCACUUCAGUGGAAGAGUGGAAAUGCAUGUACACCCCUAAGAUGCCCAUCGCGCAGCCCUGCAACAUUUUUGACUGCCCUAAAUGGCUGGCACAGGAGUGGUCUCCGUGCACAGUGACAUGUGGCCAGGGCCUCAGAUACCGUGUGGUCCUCUGCAUCGACCAUCGAGGAAUGCACACAGGAGGCUGUAGCCCAAAAACAAAGCCCCACAUAAAAGAGGAAUGCAUCGUACCCACUCCCUGCUAUAAACCCAAAGAGAAACUUCCAGUCGAGGCCAAGUUGCCAUGGUUCAAACAAGCUCAAGAGCUAGAAGAAGGAGCUGCUGUGUCAGAGGAGCCCUCGUAAGUUGUAAAAGCACAGACUGUUCUAUAUUUGAAACUGUUUUGUUUAAAGAAAGCAGUGUCUCACUGGUUGUAGCUUUCAUGGGUUCUGAACUAAGUGUAAUCAUCUCACCAAAGCUUUUUGGCUCUCAAAUUAAAGAUUGAUUAGUUUCAAAAA